AUUGAACGCUGGCGGCAUGCCUUACACAUGCAAGUCGAACGGUAACGCGGGGCAACCUGGCGACGAGUGGCGUACGGUUGAGUAAUGCAUCGGUACGUGCCCAGAAGUUGGGUUUAUCCCGGCUUAAGCCGGAUUAAUACCUCAUGAGACCUGAGUGUGAAAGCGGUGGAUCGCAAGACCUCGCUCUUUUGUUUCUGCCGAUGUCAGAUUAGCUAGUUGGUGGGGUAAAGGCCUACCAAGGCGACGAUCUGUAGCUGGUCUGAGAGGACGACCAGCCACACUGGGAGUGAGACACGGAAAAGACGACGACGGGAGGAAGCAGAGGGGAAUUUUGGACAAUGGGCGAAAGCAUGAAAAAGCAAGGCCGAGUGAGGGAAGAAGGAGUGAGGGUUGUAAACAGAUUUUGUCAGGGAAGAAAAGAUGUGGGAUAAUAACAUGGGGUAAUGACGGUAACGGAAGAAUAAGCAACGGCUAACUACGUG
rnacentral:rRNA from 1 species